rnacentral:lncRNA from 1 species
CUAUUUGCAUCCCAUCUUUUUACUUUUAUUGAGAUGACCAUUUCCAAAAACAACUGGGACAGAAAGGUAGGACUGGCUUCUAUACAGCUGUGCACUGGAGAGUCAUGAGUGACUGCAGCCAAGUCUGAAUCCAGGCCGUCCGGCCCCUGGCCAGAAGCUUUGCCAGCUUAGCUGCUUGACCACCUGCUUCUGUUUUUCUGUUCCACUUGCAGAUGGAGGAUGUUUGCUCUUCUUCUGGCAUCAACACCAAUU